GAGUUUGAUCUUGGCUCAGAUUGAACGCUGGCGGCAUGCCUUACACAUGCAAGUCGAACGGCAGCACGGGAGCUUGCUCCUGGUGGCGAGUGGCGAACGGGUGAGUAAUGCAUCGGAACGUAUCCUGGAGUGGGGGAUAACGUAGCGAAAGUUACGCUAAUACCGCAUAUUCUGUGAGCAGGAAAGCGGGGGACCUUCGGGCCUCGCGCUCUUGGAGCGGCCGAUGUCGGAUUAGCUAGUUGGUGAGGUAAAGGCUCACCAAGGCGACGAUCCGUAGCAGGUCUGAGAGGAUGAUCUGCCACACUGGAACUGAGACACGGUCCAGACUCCUACGGGAGGCAGCAGUGGGGAAUUUUGGACAAUGGGGGCAACCCUGAUCCAGCCAUGCCGCGUGAGUGAAGAAGGCCUCGGUGUAAG
rnacentral:rRNA from 1 species